UCACAGGGCAAAUGCAGAAAUAACUAUGAAGUCUCAUACAUCACAUUUUCGAAUAGUUAUUGAAUCUAACGGCACAACGAAAAACUAAAAAAGAAAUCAACAAAAUACCUAACUAGCCUAAACGAAGAACAAUUUCUAACCGCCAUCUCCAGUCCCGAUCCUGGUAUGGUAAUUAUAAAUUUCUUCUCCAUUUAUGACAUCUCUCUGAACCUAGCAAUAGCCUUUUUUUGAAUGAGAGUCUUGUAACUGUCACCUGACUGUGCUUCAAGGUUUGGGUCCACCUUCUUGGACUGCUGACUUCCCAGUCCGGCUCUAUGUCCAGUGCUUUGAGCUUGGACUGGCUCCACCAUACCACUUCCGUCCUUCCCCAAUCCCAAGCCCUCCUGCCAUCCCAUGUUGCGAAGCAUACGAUUGCCCACGUUACUCUCGUCUAUAGCCCUGUCAGCCGUGAUAACCUCAAAGCUCUGACUAUUCGCCUCUGCACUACGUCCACCUCCAACACCAGGGGGGAAAGGAGUUGGAUCAAAAACACCUCUUCUGAAUGUUGAGUCCCGAUUUGAAUCUCCAUGCUCUGAUGCAUCAUCUCCAAAAGCUGAAGAUGAACCAUAUAAGCUCCUCCGCUCAGCAGCACGAUCUCGGUAUGCAGUUGUAGACUGAGACUGUUCCUUAAUAGAUGGAGGAGGCUGUGAUGGCAUCUCUGAGAACCUUCUUAUACACCCCCAGUACCAGCUGGUAGUA
rnacentral:misc_RNA from 1 species